ensembl:snRNA U6 U6 spliceosomal RNA
GUGCUCACUUCGGCAGCACAUAUACUAAAAUUGGCAUGACAUGGAGAAGAUGAGCAUGGUACCUGGGAAAGUAUGACACACAAAUUCAUUAAGCAUUUCAUCAUAUUUUU